CAAGGUCAGGGAUGUCCCCAAGGUCAGGGAUGUCCCCAAGGUCAGGGUGUCCCCAAGGUCAGGGAUGUCCCCAAGGGCUCUCUGGGUGUCCCCAAGGUCAGGGAUGUCCCUAAGCUCUGGGUGUCCCCAGGGUCGGGGUGUCCCCAAGGUCUGGGUGUCCCCAAGGGCUCUCAGGGUGUCCCCAAGGUCAGGGUGUCCCCAAGGUUGGGGUGUCCCCAAGGUCUGGGUGUCCCCAAGGGCUCUCAGGGUGUCCCCAAGAAGGGUCUGAGUGUCCUCAAAGCUCAGGGGUGUCCCCAAGGGUGUCUUCAAUGUCCCCAAGGGUGGCGUGAGUGUCCCCAGGGGAGGGGACACACACCUGGGGUGAC